ACUGUGUAAUCCUGUCCACAAAUAGCUUUCUGUAUAAUAAUAGGACUGCUCUACUUUUUAAGCAAAGAAGCUUGAAGAACAAGACAAAACAUCUGUUCUACUUUACUUGCUCUGGGAAGAGGUCAUCCUUGAUUAUAUCACUUCAUACCAAAUAGCAACAGCAGCAGAAGGACAUGUGUAACAGAGAGCUCCCAUCAUAAAAUCCCACAAGAAGAGACAAGAUGUUCAGCAUGGAAGGUCUUUAUAAUUCAUUUUUCUUCAUCAUUUCCAAUAUUAUAGUGACUUCAUCAAGUCCUAGUUCAUUGUAGGUAAAAUAAAUACCAUGCCUACUUCGGGUUAUUUGUGUGACCAUG